UCUCAUCCAAUCACUGAAGUUAAGCAAUGUUAAGACUGGUCAGUACCUAGAUGGGUGACCGCUUGGGAAUACCAGGUGCU
rnacentral:rRNA from 1 species